rnacentral:rRNA from 1 species
GUGUCAGCAGCCGCGGUAAUACGAAGGGGGCUAGCGUUGUUCGGAAUUACUGGGCGUAAAGCGCACGUAGGCGGGCUAUUAAGUCAGGGGUGAAAUCCCGGAGCUCAACUCCGGAACUGCCUUUGAUACUGGUAGUCUAGAGAUCGGAAGAGGUUAGUGGAAUUCCCAGUGUAGAGGUGAAAUUCGUAGAUAUUGGGAAGAACACCAGUGGCGAAGGCGGCUAACUGGUCCGAUACUGACGCUGAGGUGCGAAAGCGUGGGGAGCAAACAGGAUUAGAUACCCGUGUAGUCC